UACGUAGGGGGCAAGCGUUGUCCGGAAUCAUUGGGCGUAAAGAGCGUGUAGGCGGCUUGGUAAGUCCGCUGUGAAAGUCCAGGGCUCAACCCUGGAAUGCCGGUGGAAACUGUCAAGCUUGAGUCCGGAAGAGGCGAGUGGAAUUCCUGGUGUAGCGGUGAAAUGCGCAGAUAUCAGGAGGAACACCGAUGGCGAAGGCAGGUCUCUGGGCCGAUACUGACGCUGAGGAGCGAAAGCGUGGGGAGCGAACAGG
rnacentral:rRNA from 1 species